rnacentral:lncRNA from 1 species
GGACAAAACUUUUCGACGAUUAUAAAUGAAAAGUCAUGAUUUAAAUGUUAUUUUAACUCCGAUUUUGAUAAUUUUUUACAGCUACACUCAUUGGCCCUAUAUGAAUACAAUGAACAAAUUCGAUCGUCAAUUUCAAAUAUAUAUGAGUAUAUAUAUUAUAUUAUAAAAUAAUAUAUAUUUGCGCGAUGAGAGGUAUCCUGUCG